GUAAGAAAGUUACUAAGGGCGUAUGGGGAAUGCCUAGGCUCUCAAAGGCGAAGAAGGACGUGACAAGCUGCGAUAAGCUUCGGGGACCAGCACAUAUGGGUCGAUCCGAAGAUUUCC
rnacentral:rRNA from 1 species